UGACUGCUUGUUGAGCAUCUAGGGACUGU
rnacentral:piRNA from 1 species